GGGGUCCCUGUAAUUUCCAUUGGGGUCCUUGUAAUUUUCAUUGGGAUCCAUGUUCUUCAAUUUCAAUUUGAGAAUAUUUAAUUUUAGCUACUAGAGUAAUGUAUGUACUGUAUACGCUUUGUUUAUUAUUACAGGUCUGCCUGGAGGGUCUACCUGGAGGGUAUUCCAGGGAUCAACGCCCCUGCGGCCCAUGUGUUUCUCCAGAGUCUAAAAAGCCUUAAACUGUAUAAUGAAAAUGUGUCAGUUAAUUCAGUGUCACCCUGCCUUGGUGGGAAACAGCCAGUGUGUUUCCUUGAUGCUGCAGAGAGAUGUCAUGUUGUCUUUAACAACCAGGCAGGCAACAUCCGUGGGCACACUAUGGUAGAACUGGUGGAUAGAGCCUUACGUGCCAGUUGGACUCGUAGUAAGGGGCUAGAUACCUAGAAUCAGUCAACUUUUUGAGUUGCAUUCUGGGUGAGGCCUUACAAAGGACCCUACUUGAAAUAGAUCAUACUACUAGACUCUCUUAGAUUAUUAACCCCUGAACAAACUCUUCUUCCAUUUCUGAAUACAGUGGACCCCCGGUUAACGAUAUUUUUUCAUUCCAGAAGUAUGUUCAGGUGCCAGUACUGACCGAAUUUGUUCCCAUAAGGAAUAUUGUGAAGUAGAUUAGUUCAUUUCAGACCCCCAAACAUACGCGUACAAACGCACUUACAUAAAUACACUUACAUAAUUGGUCGCAUUGGGAGGUGAUUGUUAAGCGGGGGUCCACUGUAUAGUAAUAACUGUAAAUUAGUAAAUACAGUUGAACCCCAGAAGUCAUAUGCAUUGUAGUCCACAUGAUUUAAUAAUGCAUUCCUACUGAAGGCCAUUUCAUGGAUAACUUCAUUAAUUAAUUUUUUAAUGCUCCUUGUCUUUGUGCUCGGCACACAGCCCUUCAACUGUUGCUCGGUACACGACCCUUAAAUUGUUGCUUGGCACAUGAUCCUUAAAUUGUUGCUUGGCACAUGACCCUUAAACUAUUGCUUGGCACAUGACCAUUAAACUGUUGCUCGGUACACGACCCUAAAUUGUUGCUUGGCACACAACCCUUAAAUUGUUGAUCAGCAAACAAAAUCUAAAUUGAAAAAAUAGGACUCUCUAGAAAAUGUGCUGAGUAUACCUUAUGAAUGUCAAUAUUAAACGGUCCAAACGUAUAUAUACGUUCUCUCCCAUAGUGCCCCAACUUUUUUGAGAAAAAAAAAAUAAUUUUUU